GACGGAGGGGGCAAGCGUUGUCCGGACUCACUGGGCGUAAAGAGCUCGUAGGUGGUUUGUCGCGUUGUUCGUGAAAACUCACAGCUCAACUGUGGGCGUGCGGGCGAUACGGGCAGGCUAGAGUUCGGUAGGGGAGACUGGAAUUCCUGGUGUAGCGGUGAAAUGCGCAGAUAUCAGGAGGAACACCGGUGGCGAAGGCGGGUCACUGGGUCUUUUCUGACGCUGAGGGACGAAAGCUAGGGGAGCGAACGGG
rnacentral:rRNA from 1 species